GNAACACCUGGAAACAGAUGCUAAUACCGGAUAACAACAGAUGAUGCCUAUCAACUGUUUAAAAGAUGGUUCUGCUAUCACUCUUGGAUGGACCUGCGGUGCAUUAGCUAGUUGGUAGGGUAACGGCCUACCAAGGCGAUGAUGCAUAGCCGAGUUGAGAGACUGAUCGGCCACAUUGGGACUGAGACACGGCCCAAACUCCUACGGGAGGCAGCAGAA
rnacentral:rRNA from 1 species